AUAGACACUAGUCUAAAGGGGCGGGCUUAUUUUUGUUCGCUUCAACAGGUCUUCGCAACAUUUAAACCUCCUCAUUUCAUCUGUUUCAUUUCUCUCUCUUCUCUUCACUCUCCUCUCUCCUCUCCUCUCUCCUGGUUCAAAACUCCUCAAACCCGCUAUUUCGUCAACAAAUCGGGCUCCCUCUCGCUCUCCUCACAGUCGUUGGCUUCCAUGGAAGCUUUUCCUCCGCCUUCCAUGGAAGAGUUACAAAGCUAGGGUAUCUCCGCGACCUCUCUCCCUCGACUCUUCAAACUCGUCGAUUUGUCUCCCUCCUCAAGCUAGGGUAUAUCGAUUCGACCGUCAUCUACUUCGUAUUCUCGAGGAAGACGGCGUCGUUCUCCAAAUGAGGUAACUCUUUCAUCUCUCUCCAUCUCUCCUGCAUUCUUCAAUUCUUUUAGGUUUUUGAUUUUUCAUAUUAUUUUUUAUUAACUCUUUUGAUUUAUAAUUUAGGUUUUUGAUUAUUUUUGUUGAUUUUAACGAUUUUUUAUUCUCUAAAGGGAGGUGGCGGUGGUGGAGGUGCGGCUCGGGUUUAGGUAGGUCGUGGGUGGUCGGAUGAGGCGACGCAAGCAAGGUGAUGGCUUGCUGGUGGCUCUGAUCUUGCGGUGGUAAAGAGAUCUUCUUCUUCUUCUUCUUGGAAUUACUCUCAUCAAUUCCAAUUAAUGAUUUACAAUUGUGGUGAAUUUAGGUUUUUUAUUUUAGGUUUUUUGUCUCAAAUUAGUUGCGGUGGUGGUGGUUUGUAAUCUGAAUUCAUUGAUGAGUUUGGAUGCAUGAUUAAUUUGUUCGGAAGAUAGGGAAGAAGACAGUACGGAGUAGAAUAUGUGGGUAUGAGGUUGGGAAAAAAAGCAUAUUGCUCUUCCAUGAUUAGCAAAACAUGUUUUUAGUUGGUAGGAAUUGCUGUUGAUUUCUGAACCUGAACGUUCUUACUUUUUAGUCAGUUUUUCAUUGUAUUCUAAGUAGUCCUAGUAACAAGGAAGAAUUGCGAAAGAGGUUGAGUGUUGCUGAAGAUGAUGAUGAAUAUUUGAGUUGGGAUAUUGAAGAUGAUGAUGAGCCAAUUAAGAAAAGCUAGAGAAGAAGGGUAUGAUACUUAGUAUUGGAUGUCAUGUAAUUGUUUAGUUUCAAAUAUAUUCCUAAGUUUAAUUCUUUUGUGUGGUUUUUAAGGUCAUUGUAUAAAGUAUCAAAAUCUGCUUUGUUCUAAUUGAUUUGAAAUUGAAUACUACGGAGUACAUUACAUUACACAUUACAAGAAGAAACGGCAGUUACAUUGAAUUCAUUACCAAGUUGAUUAUUUCAUUGUUAAUACUUGUCAAGUCUAAAUUGCUAAAAUGUUGAAUUUGAAUGUUACGAGGGUCUAUUUGAGGUUGUUUUGGCAAUCCUUGUUGAUUUACUAGAUGGUUGAUUGGUUUAGUUGUUGUGGAACAAUACAAGUGUAGUUAGAUGAGAUGUAGAAUAGAUUAUAUAAUAUAUAGGGUGGUAAAGGUGAAACAUUUUAAGGUUGUAAAAUUAAGUUAGGAAGUGUAGAGGGAUAUGGAAGGUGCAGCUUAUGAUGCCAAACGAUCAUCAUCAUUGGCUCAUUGCUCAUUGCUCAUUGGCUCAGUGCUCGUGUCUUGGGUUAUUACUUAAUGAUUCAUCUAGCAAUUUAAGCCUACUAACUGCACAACAAGUUGUUGUUAAGGAUCAUGUUUAUGCUAAUAGAAAAUAUGUUAUGGCUGUCUAGUACUCUAGUGGAGAUCAGACUGAACUGAAUAUCUGCAGUCAGUCCCUUGUCCAUAAGCUUAAUAGUUACUACUGCUCUGUCAAGUGUCAACUAUCAAACAUGUUGAUAAAUUAUAAAUCAUAACAAAUCACAGAUGCUAGAAAAGGUAUUUUCUAUUUUUCUAUUAAUUUUAUGUUAGUAUUAAAACUUUUGUUUUGAUUACUGAUUACAAUCUUGUUUCAAUCUUGUUUCUAGCUAGUAGCAAAAUAUACAGAAUACCAUAAUCGUGGCCUGAUUUCAAGCAACUGUCGUAAAGCAAACACAGCAGUACAUUGCAGCAACAGGAGGGCAAGCAGCCAUAAGCUCCAUACAAAGCUCCAUAUUUUAACUCAUCCAGACAUCAAGGUAUGCUAGGCACGCAUGAUAGCCUAUGUUGGGUUGUACGAGAUUGGAGGUGCUAAGAAAGGAGAUCGUGUCUUUGUCUCUGUUGCGUUUGGUGGUGUUGGCCAACUGGUUGGACAACUUGCAAAAUUGAGUGGUUGUUCAUUUACAAGGAAGAGUAAUUUUGGUAAUGGUCAAGGGAAGCGUAGGCAGAAUAAUCGAAUUGUAGAUUCAAAUAUUAUUUUUGUGUGAAUUUAUAUUAUAAAAUUACAUUAAACAAUAUUAUUUCAAUAUUAAUGUGAAUGAAGUAUUUAUUGUUUACAAU